GACGAACGCUGGCGGCGUGCUUAACACAUGCAAGUCGAACGGAAAGACCCUGCUUUUGUGGGGUGCUCGAGUGGCGAACGGGUGAGUAACACGUGAGUAACCUGCCCUUGACUUUGGGAUAACUUCAGGAAACUGGGGCUAAUACCGGAUAGGAGCUCCUGCUGCAUGGUGGGUGUUGGAAAGUUUCGGCGGUUGGGGAUGGACUCGCGGGUUAUCAGCUUGUUGGUGGGGUAGUGGCUUACCAAGGCUUUGACGGGUAGCCGGCCUGAGAGGGUGACCGGCCACAUUGGGACUGAGAUACGGCCCAGACUCCUACGGGAGGCAGCAGUGGGGAAUAUUGCACAAUGGGCGGAAGCCUGAUGCAGCAACGCCGCGUGCGGGAUGACGGCCUUCGGGUUGUAAACCGCUUUCGCCUGUGACGAAGCGUGAGUGACGGUAAUGGGUAAAGAAGCACCGGCUAACUACGUG
rnacentral:rRNA from 1 species